CACACAGCCACACAGCCAGUCAGUUGAUGAUUCUUUGGCCAGAGCUGGCUUUGAUCCCAAAAGCGGUCUCUUCUCCAGGCUGUUUUGUAUCUUCAGGGUGAGGCUUUUUGGCUUUGUUCAUGUUCUAUUCCGGGCACCUGGCACACUUUGGCACUCACAUAUUUGUUGAAUAAAAUGUCAUUUUUUCCUGAUCUUGGUAGCUUGAUCAGGAGCUUGAGGGAGGCAGCAUGUCUUAGGGCUCCUGUACUCUACAGGUUCUGACACUCCUGCCGGGGUCUGUGUUCCCCUCUCCACCCCAGAUGCUGCAGAAUCCCCACCAGCCUCUGAUUCUCAAGCAGCCACAGACGCACCACAGUGGGAAUGUGUGGCAUGACCUCUGCUGAGCAGAGACAAUGUCUCUUUCCAGCGAGUGCAUGCCGUGAACUUUAGCUGUUCUCUCUCUCUCUGGGGUUGAAGGCUGUUGGUGACCUGCCCUCUUUUUUUCUCCUCUAGGCAAAAUCUAUUUAUGGCAGUUGGCUGCUCCUGGCUCCAGAUGGGACCAACUUUGACAGCCCAGUGCACCGGUCUUGGGUGCCACUCACUGCAGGUCUUGCUCAAGUUUUCUGAUUGGUGCAACUUAAAUCACACCCAAAAUACCGGCUGUGGGAGAGCUCUGAGAUUUCAUCUUUCCAGCCUCUGUGUGCUGCAUGGGGUUUGGAGCAUUUGCCAACAAGCCAAUCCACUGUAUUCACCAUUGACAGUAAGUAAAAUGUUUAUGAUCAGUAACAUUUGCAUUUUUCAUAAUUUGCAGCAUACAUACUUCUUAAUUAGAGCUAAUGUCAAGUCAUUCUACAUAUAAAAAUAUUAUUUCUGACCAUUACUGAAGAAACAGCUUUUUUAGAAAUGGAAAGCAAUGCCUACAUUAUUUCCUAAAUAUGCAAAGCUGGUAGAGAAAAUAGGAUGUUAAAUUUAGAAUUUCCCUUCCAGCUUUGUUUAUUUUCUCCACAUCAGCUCUGUUUUCCUCUGUGCCUUUUUCUCCUGUGGGGACGUCCUCUACCUUUUCAAUCUGAUUUGCCCUUUGCCGUGCAGACUUGUGGAUGAAGAGCCAGAGUUCGCCGAGGUCGAUGCUGAUGGCCAGUGGCCUGGUGUGUGUGUUAACAGGACAUCAAUGCCCUCAGAGCCUGAGACCACUAUAAGUCACUCAUCAAGUCAUUUGCCCAGGUAUUGAAUCAUUUUUUUUCUAAAAGCAAAGCUCCAAAUUCAAACUUUGGCCUGACAUACCAAACAUUUCUCAACUGUAUGCUGGCCCCAUGUUAUUACAACCACAAGGGUACUUUCAAGCUCCUACCACCUGCAGCCACUGCCUGCUGGAGCCUGGCUGAGGCUCUGGGGAGGCACUGAUGGACAGCCUGACUCAUGAAUAACACAAAUGCAGCCUCUUCCUCUCUACUGCUUCCUCUCCUCCAGUUCCUGCCUGGACACAUUUCUUUUCUGUCUCUCAUAGCCAUUAAAUUCAGGUUACUAUGAUUUGCCAUUUUCUCAUCUCAUGAGAAUCAGCCAGAGGCUUCAUCUCCUAGGAAACAAGGCAUCACGACUGUGCACCUGACCCUUUUGUAGGCACCCCUGGCCAUCCCCAUCUUGCAACCUAAUAGACAUUUUUCUACCUGGUCUUAUACAUGGGCACCUGUGCUGAUCUGUCACUCCUGAUCUUGGUGUGCUCCCAGCUUUUCCUGGAAUUUUCUGACAAACUCAUAAUUCCCCUUUAGUCAUGCUUAUCUAUCUUCAUAUAUGAGAAAGAUGCAUAGCUAUACCUCAUACAUAUGCUG
ensembl:lncRNA